GGGGCACCUGCACCUCGGCAGGAUGUGGGGUCAGAGCGGAGGGGGCCUGGUUCCUGAAUAAGAAGCAGCCCAGGUCCACGAGGGAGGGCCAUGGGAGAGGUUGCCGAGAGCAGGGCUGGCAACCUGUUGGGUCCCUGGCAGACCCUGGGAAAAUCCUCCGGUCACAGGCCACAGCCGCAUCCACAGAGUGAAAACAUGCUACCGUCCCCGUUCCGCCUGCAAACCGUGCACCUUGCUCCGCAGCGGGCACUGGGCUUUGCGGAGCAGAAACAUCGCUGGUCCGGGCCCAUCCUGCAUUCCAGCCUCCUGUACUGGGGGCUCCCAUUAGCCCCGCUCCGCUCCCUGCCAGACUCCCCACCGAGCUUUUGGGCUUUUGUCAGCUCGAGACAGCCCUUGAAAACCGUGCAAGCUGAGGGGGUGUGUGUCUAAUAAAGUUCAAGCUCUGUAAUUUCGCAAUUACUGUAACCCACACGUGUAAUUUAGGGGGUUUCUCGUAAUUCUUCUUUGUACUGUCUCUUUUAAAAAGCAGGCGGCUUGAAGAGUUUUCUCUUGAACGCCCCCAACGCAGGCUGGCGUUUGCCACCCCCGCCCCCGGUCAGCUGCAGAGCACACAAAUGUGGGCAGAUGGGGUUUGGGCUGCUUUUCGGGGACUCAAAAGGUUAAUUGAAUGUUCGGCAGCCCCCAAAGGAAGCCCAGCUUCCUCUCUGUGACCCCAGGCCUCCGAAGCUCUGAAUUCAUCUGGGUGGAUCACGGGUGUAGACAGAAGUUUGAUGAAAGGUGUAAUCUACUCUCGGCCCCGGGUUCCAGCCUUAAGCAAGGCUCCUCGCUGCUCCCCGCAGCACCGUGCCCACUUCUGUGCCUCUGUCUUCAUUUAUGUGAUUAGCUGUUUAUUUCAGAAAUAUGGGGGGGGGUCCACUCCACACUCCUCUGGGGAACCUAGGUCACAAAAGAUGGGGCUUUGUGGCCCUGGGGCAGGGCUGGGGGUGAUGACCACAGCUCCACAGGGCUGGCGGAGGGGGCUCCCUCCAGCCUCCCUCUGGUCCUCGGUCCUCCAGUGCGUGUAGCCCCCCAGACAGCAGGGCAGGUUGGGACCCUGAUUUCAGGGCUCAGCCUUCUCCCUCACUUCCAGGCUCUCCCUGGGGAAUUUCUGCCUGGCUUCUGCUUGUCCCCGCUCAGAAGGUAGCCUUGAGCUUAAAAAGCUGCAGGGUUUUCCCCUUGACCUGAACUCCCCUGCCCCCGAUGCAGCUGGGCUCCUGACCUCCUGGAGUGGGGAGCAGCCCCAGGUUAAGACCCCAGCCCCGGCUCAUCUCACCUGAGCAAACAGCUUUCCAGGAACAAGAGCUUCUCAGCUUGUUGUCUGCCUUUGGCUGAAUUCCAAGACCCGCAAAAAGUUGAUUUUUGUCACUUUUGUCCCGUUUAAAACUUAUAG
rnacentral:lncRNA from 1 species